CUAAAGUUAGGAUAAUAGGCUAAUCCGUGGGCUAGCCACCCAAGAAACGUAUGUUCAAAUCAUCGUACUUUAGA
rnacentral:tRNA from 1 species